rnacentral:rRNA from 1 species
AGAGUUUGAUCCUGGCUCAGGACGAACGCUGGCGGCGCGCCUAACACAUGCAAGUCGAACGAGAGAUGAGGAGCUUGCUCUUCAGAUCGAGUGGCGAACGGGUGAGUAACGCGUGAGGAACCUGCCUCAAAGAGGGGGACAACAGUUGGAAACGACUGCUAAUACCGCAUAAGCCCACGGCUCGGCAUCGAGCAGAGGGAAAAGGAGCAAUCCGCUUUGAGAUGGCCUCGCGUCCGAUUAGCUAGUUGGUGAGGUAACGGCCCACCAAGGCGACGAUCGGUAGCCGGACUGAGAGGUUGAACGGCCACAUUGGGACUGAGACACGGCCCAGACUCCUACGGGAGGCAGCAGUGGGGAAUAUUGCACAAUGGGGGAAACCCUGAUGCAGCGACGCCGCGUGGAGGAAGAAGGUCUUCGGAUUGUAAACUCCUGUUGUUGAGGAAGAUAAUGACGGUACUCAACAAGGAAGUGACGGCUAACUACGUGCCAGCAGCCGCGGUAAAACGUAGGUCACAAGCGUUGUCCGGAAUUACUGGGUGUAAAGGGAGCGCAGGCGGGAGAACAAGUUGGAAGUGAAAUCCAUGGGCUCAACCCAUGAACUGCUUUCAAAACUGUUUUUCUUGAGUAGUGCAGAGGUAGGCGGAAUUCCCGGUGUAGCGGUGGAAUGCGUAGAUAUCGGGAGGAACACCAGUGGCGAAGGCGGCCUACUGGGCACCAACUGACGCUGAGGCUCGAAAGUGUGGGUAGCAAACAGGAUUAGAUACCCUGGUAGUCCACACCGUAAACGAUGAUUACUAGGUGUUGGAGGAUUGACCCCUUCAGUGCCGCAGUUAACACAAUAAGUAAUCCACCUGGGGAGUACGACCGCAAGGUUGAAACUCAAAGGAAUUGACGGGGGCCCGCACAAGCAGUGGAGUAUGUGGUUUAAUUCGACGCAACGCGAAGAACCUUACCAAGUCUUGACAUCCCUUGACGAUGCUGGAAACAGUAUUUCUCUUCGGAGCAAGGAGACAGGUGGUGCAUGGUUGUCGUCAGCUCGUGUCGUGAGAUGUUGGGUUAAGUCCCGCAACGAGCGCAACCCUU